rnacentral:rRNA from 1 species
ACUCCUGCGGGAGGCAGCAGUGGGGAAUUUUGGACAAUGGGCGAAAGCCUGAUCCAGCAAUGCCGCGUGUGUGAAGAAGGCCUUCGGGUUGUAAAGCACUUUUGUCCGGAAAGAAAUCCUUGGCUCUAAUACAGUCGGGGGAUGACGGUACCGGAAGAAUAAGCACCGGCUAACUACGUGCCAGCAGCCGCGGUAAUACGUAGGGUGCGAGCGUUAAUCGGAAUUACUGGGCGUAAAGCGUGCGCAGGCGGUUUGCUAAGACCGAUGUGAAAUCCCCGGGCUCAACCUGGGAACUGCAUUGGUGACUGGCAGGCUAGAGUAUGGCAGAGGGGGGUAGAAUUCCACGUGUAGCAGUGAAAUGCGUAGAGAUGUGGAGGAAUACCGAUGGCGAAGGCAGCCCCCUGGGCCAAUACUGACGCUCAUGCACGAAAGCGUGGGGAGCAAACAGGAUUAGAAACCCUUGUAGUCCC